rnacentral:rRNA from 1 species
GACGAACCGUGCUAACGUUGUUCGGAAUCAUUGGGCUUAAAGGGCGCGUAGGCGGGCUAUCAAGUCUGGGGUGAAAUCCCACGGCUCAACCGUGGAACUGCCUUAGAUACUGACGGCCUUGAGGAAGGUAGGGGCAUGCGGAACUGUAGGUGGAGCGGUGAAAUGCGUUGAUAUCUACAGGAACUCCGGUGGCGAAAGCGGCGUGCUGGACCUUUUCUGACGCUGAGGCGCGAAAGCUAGGGGAGCAAACGGG